rfam:Caenorhabditis tropicalis strain JT1373 unplaced genomic scaffold Scaffold629, whole genome shotgun sequence.
CCAACGGCCCUCUUCAGGGCCACAACUGAAAAAUCCAAACUAUUUAU